rnacentral:rRNA from 1 species
UACGUAGGGUGCAAGCGUUAAUCGGAAUUACUGGGCGUAAAGCGUGCGCAGGCGGUUUUGUAAGUCUGACGUGAAAUCCCCGGGCUCAACCUGGGAAUUGCGUUGGAGACUGCAAGGCUAGAAUCUGGCAGAGGGGGGUAGAAUUCCACGUGUAGCAGUGAAAUGCGUAGAUAUGUGGAGGAACACCGAUGGCGAAGGCAGCCCCCUGGGCUGACACUGACGCUCAGGCACGAAAGCGUGGGGAGCAAACAGG